rnacentral:lncRNA from 12 species
GCGACCUUUGCCCUUCCUGUUGAAAACCUCUGUCGAAUAUACACCACAAAAGAAAUACUCUCAUCAAAAACCCAAACCCUUGAGCUUUGCUCCGUAAGUACAGAAAAUGCAAUCCAACUUCUUUUGGUUGACGUAUUGAUAAAAAUUGGGAAGUAAACCUUCCGUGAACUUGUAAUUAGUUUACCAUGCAAAGUGUUGACAAAAGCUUUAGUUCAACACCCUGGAUUUCCCCCCUGCUUGGCUGAAUGAGAACAGUUCCUAGUGGCAAUCAUGCUGGGUCAUGAAACUAAUUGUGCUUUGUGAGGGUGAAAAUUCUCCGUUUCCGAGCGGGGGACACUGCUGCAUGACGGAUGAACGUUAGAAAUGUGGCUCCCCCUAUCCAGAAAAAGGAAAAGGAGAGAAAAGGCUUUCUUUUGCCACAAUUACCACCCUGGGUCCAUAGUAUCCAGCAGUCAGAAGGCCAAGGUGACUUUGUUGGAAACUCCCGUUAGAUUUUUUGGAUAAGAUAGUUAUACUAAUGAAGUAACUCCAGCAAGAAACCAAGGUAAGUGGAAACAUUGCUAACUUGAAAUUCUUGAACAUCAG